rnacentral:rRNA from 1 species
UAAUCUGCCCUUAUGAUCGGGAUAACAGUUGGAAACGGACUGCUAAUACCGGAUAACGCUCAAAUGAACUUUUUGUAGGAAAGAUGGCCUCUGCUUGCAUGCUAUCACGUAAGGAUGAGUCCGCGUCCCAUUAGCUUGUUGGCGGGGUAACGGCCCACCAAGGCAACGAUGGGUAGCCGAUUUGAGAGGAUGAUCGGCCACACUGGAACUGAAACACGGUCCAGACUCCUACGGGAGGCAGCAGUGGGGAAUAUUGCGCAAUGGGCGAAAGCCUGACGCAGCGACGCCGCGUGAGGGAUUGAAGGUUUUCGGAUCGUAAACCUCUGUCAGAAGGGAAGAAACUACGUUGUGCUAAUCAGCAGCGUACUGACGGUACCUUCAAAGGAAGCACCGGCUAACUCCGUGCCAGCAGCCGC